GCCCAGACUCCUACGGGAGGCAGCAGUGGGGGAUAUUGCACAAUGGGGGGAACCCUGAUGCAGCGACGCCGCGUGGGUGAAGAAGCGCCUCGGCGCGUAAGGCCCUGUCAGCAGGGAAGAAAAUGACGGUACCUGAAGAAGAAGCCCCGGCUAACUACGUGCCAGCAGCCGCGGUAAUACGUAGGGGGCAAGCGUUAUCCGGAUUUACUGGGUGUAAAGGGGGCGCAGACGGCGAUGCAAGCCAGGAGUGAAAGCCCGGGGCCCAACCCCGGGACUGCUCUUGGAACUGCGUGGCUGGAGUGCAGGAGGGGCAGGCGGAAUGCGCGGUGUAGCGGUGAAAUGCAUAGAUAUCGCGCAGAACCCCGAUUGCGAAGGCAGCGUGCCGGGCCGCCACUGACGCUGAGGCACGAAAGCGCGGGGAUCGAACAGGAUUAGAUACCCCUGUA
rnacentral:rRNA from 1 species